rnacentral:rRNA from 1 species
CCAAUAGCGUAUAUUAAAGUUGUUGCAGUUAAAAAGCUCGUAGUUGAAUUUCGGGAUCAAUAUGUCGGUCGUGCUUCGGUACGUACUGGUGUCAUUGGUUUCUCACUUCUGAAGAACCUCGAUGUCAUUAAUUUGGUGUCUUGGGGAAUCAGGACUGUUACUUUGAAAAAAUUAGAGUGUUUAAAGCAGGCUCGCGCUUGAAUACAUUAGCAUGGAAUAAGGAAAUAGGACGUUUGAUUCUAUUUUGUUGGUUUCUAGGAUCGACGUAAUGAUUAAUAGGGAUAGUUGGGGGCAUUAGUAUUCAAUUGUCAGAGGUGAAAUUCUUGGAUUUAUUGAAGACUAACUACUGCGAAAGCAUUUGCCAAGGAUGUUUUCAUUAAUCAAGAACGAAAGUUAGGGGAUCGAAGACGAUCAGAUACCGUCGUAGUCUUAACCAUAAACUAUGCCGACUAGGGAUCGGAUGAUGUUAAUUUUUUAAUGACUCAUUCGGCGCCUUACG